GUAGGUGAACCUGCGGAAGGAUCAUUACUAGUUUAGGGUACUCAGUGCCCAAACUUCAACCCUUUGACUUAAUUAAUUUGUUUCUUUGCCGAUUUCGGUCGGCAGAAGUUUUCUCAAACCCAUUAAAAAUUUGUCUUCUGAAAUUCAAAAUAAUAAUAUUAAAACUUUCAACAACGGAUCUCUUGGUUCUGGCAUCGAUGAAGAACGCAGCAUCUGACUGACUACGUGGU
rnacentral:misc_RNA from 1 species